UGACCGCUGGCGGCGUGCCUACUACAUGCACGUCGAGCGAACAGAUGCGGAGCUUGCUCCUCUGACGUUAGCGGCGGACGGGUGAGUAACACGUGGAUAACCUACCUAUAAGACUGGGAUAACUUCGGGAAACCGGAGCUAAUACCGGAUAAUAUAUUGAACCGCAUGGUUCAAUAGUGAAAGACGGUUUUGCUGUCACUUAUAGAUGGAUCCGCGCCGCAUUAGCUAGUUGGUAAGGUAACGGCUUACCAAGGCAACGAUGCGUAGCCGACCUGAGAGGGUGAUCGGCCACACUGGAACUGAGACACGGUCCAGACUCCUACGGGAGGCAGCAGUAGGGAAUCUUCCGCAAUGGGCGAAAGCCUGACGGAGCAACGCCGCGUGAGUGAUGAAGGUCUUCGGAUCGUAAAACUCUGUUAUUAGGGAAGAACAAAUGUGUAAGUAACUAUGCACGUCUUGACGGUACCUAAUCAGAAAGCCACGGCUAACUACGUG
rnacentral:rRNA from 1 species